rnacentral:rRNA from 1 species
ACGCUGGCGGCGUGGAUUAGGCAUGCAAGUCGGACGGUAGGGCUUUAUCGUAAGAUAGAGUUUGAGAGUGGCGAACGGGUGAGUAACACGUAGGAAUCUACCCUUAAGACGGGGACAACCCAGGGAAACUUGGGCUAAUACCGGAUGAGAGUGCGAGAGAUUGCAUUUAAAGGAUGGCGAAAGUUGUCGCUUAGGGAUGAGCCUGCGGUCUAUUAGUUAGUUGGUGAGGUAAGAGCUCACCAAGGCGAUGAUAGAUAGGCGGCCUUAACGGGUGGUCGCCCACACUGGGAUUGAGAUACGGCCCAGACUCCUACGGGAGGCAGCAGUCGAGAAUAGUCUACAAUGGCCGGAAGGCUGAUAGUGCGACGCCGCGUGAACGAGGGAGCCCUUCGGGGUGUAAAGUUCUUUUAUAUGUGAGCAGUGCUUCUUAUAUUAACAGUAUGGGGAGAGAGAUAUUAGCAUAUGAAUAAGCAACGGCUAACUCCGUG